AUGCACGCUGGCGGCGUGCCUAAUACAUGCAAGUCGCGCGAACAGACGAGGAGCUUGCUCCUCUGACGUUAGCGGCGGACGGGUGAGUAACACGUGGAUAACCUACCUAUAAGACUGGGAUAACUUCGGGAAACCGGAGCUAAUACCGGAUAAUAUAUUGAACCGCAUGGUUCAAUAGUGAAAGACGGUUUUGCUGUCACUUAUAGAUGGAUCCGCGCCGCAUUAGCUAGUUGGUAAGGUAACGGCUUACCAAGGCGACGAUGCGUAGCCGACCUGAGAGGGUGAUCGGCCACACUGGAACUGAGACACGGUCCAGACUCCUACGGGAGGCAGCAGUAGGGAAUCUUCCGCAAUGGGCGAAAGCCUGACGGAGCAACGCCGCGUGAGUGAUGAAGGUCUUCGGAUCGUAAAACUCUGUUAUUAGGGAAGAACAAAUGUGUAAGUAACUAUGCACGUCUUGACGGUACCUAAUCAGAAAGCCACGGCUAACUACGUG
rnacentral:rRNA from 1 species